rnacentral:rRNA from 1 species
UGAGUAACCUGCCCCUCACUCUGGGAUAAGCGCUGGAAACGGCGUCUAAUACCGGAUACGACCUUCGGAGGCAUCUCCAGGAGGUGGAAAGAAUUUCGGUGAGGGAUGGACUCGCGGCCUAUCAGGUAGUUGGUGAGGUAAUGGCUCACCAAGCCGACGACGGGUAGCCGGCCUGAGAGGGUGACCGGCCACACUGGGACUGAGACACGGCCCAGACUCCGUACGGGAGG